rnacentral:rRNA from 1 species
CGGGCGGCCUACCAUGCAGUCGAACGGUAAGAUCCAGCUUGCUGGAUACACGAGUGGCGCACGGGUGAGUAACGCGUAUGCGACCUACCCUUAACUGGGGGAUAGCCCGAAGAAAUUCGGAUUAAUACCCCAUAACAUCACGUUUUCGCAUGAUUAUGUGAUUAAAACUCCGGUGGUUAAGGAUGGGCAUGCGUGACAUUAGUUAGUUGGUGAGGUAACGGCUCACCAAGGCGACGAUGUCUAGGGGGCCUGAGAGGGUGAUCCCCCACACUGGUACUGAGACACGGACCAGACUCCUACGGGAGGCAGCAGUGAGGAAUAUUGCGCAAUGGACGAAAGUCUGACGCAGCCAUGCCGCGUGCAGGAUGACGGCCCUAUGGGUUGUAAACUGCUUUUUUACAGGAAGAAUCCCCUGCUCGUGAGUGGGGUUGACGGUACUGUAUGAAUAAGCAUCGGCUAACUCCGUGCCAGCAGCCGCGGUAAUACGGAGGAUGCAAGCGUUAUCCGGAUUUAUUGG